AGAGUUUGAUCCUGGCUCAGGAUGAACGCUAGCGGCAGGCUUAAUACAUGCAAGUCGAGGGGCAGCACAGUGUAGCAAUACAUGGGUGGCGACCGGCAAACGGGUGCGGAACACGUACGCAACCUUCCCAGAACUGGUGAAUAGCCUUUCGAAAGAGAGAUUAAUACACCGUAACUUAAUGAAGUGGCAUCACUUUAUUAAUAUAGUUCCGACGGUUCUGGAUGGGCGUGCGCCUGAUUAGGUAGUUGGCGGGGUAACGGCCCACCAAGCCUACGAUCAGUAACUGGUGUGAGAGCACGACCAGUCACACGGGCACUGAGACACGGGCCCGACUCCUACGGGAGGCAGCAGUAAGGAAUAUUGGUCAAUGGACGCAAGUCUGAACCAGCCAUGCCGCGUGGAGGAUGAAGGCCCUCUGGGUUGUAAACUUCUUUUAUCGAAGAAGAAACCCUAGCAUUCUUGCUGGGUUGACGGUACUCGAUGAAUAAGCUCCGGCUAACUUCGUGCCAGCCGCCGCGGUAAUUCA
rnacentral:rRNA from 1 species